rnacentral:rRNA from 1 species
GAUGAACGCUAGCUACAGGCUUAACACAUGCAAGUCGCGGGGCAGCAUGGGGGUUGCUUGCAAUCCCCGAUGGCGACCGGCGCACGGGUGAGUAACGCGUAUCCAACCUGCCCUUCACCACGGGAUAACCCGGCGAAAGUCGGACUAAUACCGUAUGUUGUCCAUUGACGGCAUCCGAUUUGGACGAAAGGCUUUGCGGUGAAGGAUGGGGAUGCGUCCGAUUAGCUGGACGGCGGGGUAACGGCCCACCGUGGCUACGAUCGGUAGGGGUUCUGAGAGGAAGGUCCCCCACACUGGAACUGAGACACGGUCCAGACUCCUACGGGAGGCAGCAGUGAGGAAUAUUGGUCAAUGGGCGUAAGCCUGAACCAGCCAAGUAGCGUGCAGGAUGACGGCCCUAUGGGUUGUAAACUGCUUUUAUGCGGGGAUAAAGGAGCCCACGUGUGGGUUUUUGCAGGUACCGCAUGAAUAAGGACCGGCUAAUUCCGUGCCAGCAGCCGCGGUAAUACGGAAGGUCCGGGCGUUAUCCGGAUUUAUUGGGUUUAAAGGGAGCGUAGGCCGCGCCUUAAGCGUGUUGUGAAAUCCGGGUGCUCAACAUCCGGCUUGCAGCGCGAACUGGGGCGCUUGAGUGCGCUGAAAGUAGGCGGAAUUCGUGGUGUAGCGGUGAAAUGCUUAGAUAUCACGAGGAACUCCGAUUGCGAAGGCAGCCUACUGUAGCGCUACUGACGCUGAUGCUCGAAAGCGUGGGUAUCGAACAGG